rnacentral:rRNA from 1 species
AACGAACGCUGGCGGCAGGCCUAACACAUGCAAGUCGAGCGAGCAUUUCGGUGCUAGCGGCGGACGGGUGCGUAACGCGUGGGAACGUGCCCUUUUCUGCGGAAUAGCCCUGGGAAACUGGGGGUAAUACCGCAUACGCCCUUUUGGGGAAAGAUUUAUCGGAGAAGGAUCGGCCCGCGUUGGAUUAGGUAGUUGGUGGGGUAAUGGCCCACCAAGCCGACGAUCCAUAGCUGGUCUGAGAGGAUGAUCAGCCACACUGGGACUGAGACACGGCCCAGACUCCUACGGGAGGCAGCAGUGGGGAAUCUUAGACAAUGGGGGCAACCCUGAUCGAGCCAUGCCGCGUGAGUGAUGAAGGCCUUAGGGUUGUAAAGCUCUUUCAGCUGGGAAGAUAAUGACGGUACCAGCAGAAGAAGCCCCGGCUAACUCCGUG